rnacentral:rRNA from 1 species
AUUGAACGCUGGCGGAAUGCUUUACACAUGCAAGUCGAACGGAUUUAAGGAGCUUGCUUCUUAAGUUAGUGGCGAACGGGUGAGUAAUGCAUAGGAACGUACCCAGAAGUGGGGGAUAACGUAGCGAAAGUUACGCUAAUACCGCAUAUUCUCUGAGGAGGAAAGUGGGGGACCUUCGGGCCUCACGCUUUUGGAGCGGCCUAUGUCCGAUUAGCUAGUUGGUGAGGUAAAGGCUCACCAAGGCGACGAUCGGUAGCUGGUCUGAGAGGAUGAUCAGCCACACUGGGACUGAGACACGGCCCAGACUCCUACGGGAGGCAGCAGUGGGGAAUUUUGGACAAUGGGCGCAAGCCUGAUCCAGCCAUGCCGCGUGAUAGAUGAAGGCCCUCUGGGUUGUAAAUAUCUUUUAUCUGGGAAGAAACUACCUCUAUUCUUAGAGGCCUGACGGUACCAAGAGGAAAUAAGCACCGGCUAACUCCGUGCCAGCAGCCGCGGU